rnacentral:tRNA from 1 species
ACCUGGCCAGCUCAUUCGGUAGAGCUUCUGACUCUAGAUCUCAGGGUCAUGGGUUCAAGCCCUAUGUUGGGUG